CGCACGGUGGAUGCCUUGACACUAGGAGUCGAUGAAGGACGGGACUAACGCCGAUAUGCUUCGGGGAGCUGUAAGUAAGCUUUGAUCCGAAGAUUUCCGAAUGGGGAAACCCACCAUACGUAAUGGUAUGGUAUCCUUACCUGAAUACAUAGGGUAAGGAAGACAGACCCAGGGAACUGAAACAUCUAAGUACCUGGAGGAAGAGAAAGCAAAUGCGAUUUCCUGAGUAGCGGCGAGCGAAACGGAACAUAGCCCAAACCAAGAGGCUUGCCUCUUGGGGUUGUAGGACAUUCUAUACGGAGUUACAAAGGAACGAGGUAGACGAAGCGACCUGGAAAGGUCCGUCGUAGAGGGUAACAACCCCGUAGUCGAAACUUCGUUCUCUCUUGAAUGUAUCCUGAGUACGGCGGAACACGUGAAAUUCCGUCGGAAUCUGGGAGGACCAUCUCCCAAGGCUAAAUACUCCCUAGUGAUCGAUAGUGAACCAGUACCGUGAGGGAAAGGUGAAAAGCACCCCGGAAGGGGAGUGAAAGAGAUCCUGAAACCGUGUGCCUACAAAUAGUCAGAGCCCGUUAACGGGUGAUGGCGUGCCUUUUGUAGAAUGAACCGGCGAGUUACGAUCCCGUGCGAGGUUAAGCUGAAGAGGCGGAGCCGCAGCGAAAGCGAGUCUGAAUAGGGCGUUUAGUACGUGGUCGUAGACCCGAAACCAGGUGAUCUACCCAUGUCCAGGGUGAAGUUCAGGUAACACUGAAUGGAGGCCCGAACCCACGCACGUUGAAAAGUGCGGGGAUGAGGUGUGGGUAGCGGAGAAAUUCCAAUCGAACCUGGAGAUAGCUGGUUCUCCCCGAAAUAGCUUUAGGGCUAGCCUUAAGUGUAAGAGUCUUGGAGGUAGAGCACUGAUUGGACUAGGGGUCCUCAUCGGAUUACCGAAUUCAGUCAAACUCCGAAUGCCAAUGACUUAUCCUUAGGAGUCAGACUGCGAGUGAUAAGAUCCGUAGUCAAAAGGGAAACAGCCCAGACCGCCAGCUAAGGUCCCAAAGUGUGUAUUAAGUGGAAAAGGAUGUGGAGUUGCUUAGACAACUAGGAUGUUGGCUUAGAAGCAGCCACCAUUUAAAGAGUGCGUAAUAGCUCACUAGUCGAGUGACUCUGCGCCGAAAAUGUACCGGGGCUAAAUACACCACCGAAGCUGCGGAUUGAUACCGAAUGGUAUCAGUGGUAGGGGAGCGUUCUAAGGACAGUGAAGUCAGACCGGAAGGACUGGUGGAGUGCUUAGAAGUGAGAAUGCCGGUAUGAGUAGCGAAAGACGGGUGAGAAUCCCGUCCACCGAAUGCCUAAGGUUUCCUGAGGAAGGCUCGUCCGCUCAGGGUUAGUCAGGACCUAAGCCGAGGCCGACAGGCGUAGGCGAUGGACAACAGGUUGAUAUUCCUGUACCACCUCUUUAUCGUUUGAGCAAUGGAGGGACGCAGAAGGAUAGAAGAAGCGUGCGAUUGGUUGUGCACGUCCAAGCAGUUAGGCUGAUAAGUAGGCAAAUCCGCUUAUCGUAAAGGCUGAGCUGUGAUGGGGAAGCUCCUUAUGGAGCGAAGUCUUUGAUUCCCCGCUGCCAAGAAAAGCUUCUAGCGAGAUAAAAGGUGCCUGUACCGCAAACCGACACAGGUAGGCGAGGAGAGAAUCCUAAGGUGUGCGAGAGAACUCUGGUUAAGGAACUCGGCAAAAUGACCCCGUAACUUCGGGAGAAGGGGUGCUUUCUUAACGGAAAGCCGCAGUGAAUAGGCCCAAGCGACUGUUUAGCAAAAACACAGCUCUCUGCGAAGCCGUAAGGCGAAGUAUAGGGGGUGACACCUGCCCGGUGCUGGAAGGUUAAGGAGAGGGGUUAGCGUAAGCGAAGCUCUGAACUGAAGCCCCAGUAAACGGCGGCCGUAACUAUAACGGUCCUAAGGUAGCGAAAUUCCUUGUCGGGUAAGUUCCGACCCGCACGAAAGGUGUAACGAUUUGGGCACUGUCUCAACCAGAGACUCGGUGAAAUUAUAGUACCUGUGAAGAUGCAGGUUACCCGCGACAGGACGGAAAGACCCCGUGGAGCUUUACUGUAGCCUGAUAUUGAAUUUUGGUACAGUUUGUACAGGAUAGGCGGGAGCCUUUGAAACCGGAGCGCUAGCUUCGGUGGAGGCGCUGGUGGGAUACCGCCCUGACUGUAUUGAAAUUCUAACCUACGGGUCUUAUCGACCCGGGAGACAGUGUCAGGUGGGCAGUUUGACUGGGGCGGUCGCCUCCUAAAGUGUAACGGAGGCGCCCAAAGGUUCCCUCAGAAUGGUUGGAAAUCAUUCGUAGAGUGCAAAGGCAUAAGGGAGCUUGACUGCGAGACCUACAAGUCGAGCAGGGACGAAAGUCGGGCUUAGUGAUCCGGUGGUUCCGCAUGGAAGGGCCAUCGCUCAACGGAUAAAAGCUACCCCGGGGAUAACAGGCUUAUCUCCCCCAAGAGUCCACAUCGACGGGGAGGUUUGGCACCUCGAUGUCGGCUCAUCGCAUCCUGGGGCUGUAGUCGGUCCCAAGGGUUGGGCUGUUCGCCCAUUAAAGCGGUACGCGAGCUGGGUUCAGAACGUCGUGAGACAGUUCGGUCCCUAUCCGUCGUGGGCGUAGGAAAUUUGAGAGGAGCUGUCCUUAGUACGAGAGGACCGGGAUGGACGCACCGCUGGUGUACCAGUUGUUCUGCCAAGGGCAUAGCUGGGUAGCUAUGUGCGGAAGGGAUAAGUGCUGAAAGCAUCUAAGCAUGAAGCCCCCCUCAAGAUGAGAUUUCCCAUAGCGUAAGCUAGUAAGAUCCCUGAAAGAUGAUCAGGUUGAUAGGUUCGAGGUGGAAGCAUGGUGACAUGUGGAGCUGACGAAUACUAAUAGAUCGAGGACUUAACCAU
rnacentral:rRNA from 1 species